rnacentral:rRNA from 1 species
ACGGAAGGCAGCAGUGGGGGAUAUUGCACAAUGGGCGCAAGCCUGAUGCAGCGAUGCCGCGUGAGGGAAGAAGGUUUUCGGAUUGUAAACCUCUGUCAACAGGGACGAAAAUGACGGUACCUGUGAAGGAAGCUCCGGCUAACUACGUGCCAGCAGCCGCGGUAAUACGUAGGGAGCAAGCGUUAUCCGGAAUUACUGGGUGUAAAGGGAGUGUAGGCGGGACUGUAAGUCAGAUGUGAAAUAUGCCGGCUCAACUGGCAGACUGCAUUUGAAACUGCGGUUCUUGAGUGAAGUAGAGGUAAGCGGAAUUCCUGGUGUGGCGGUGAAAUGCGUAGAUAUUAGGAGGAACAUCAGUGGCGAGGGCGGCUUACUGGGCUUUAACUGACGCUGAGGCUCAAAGGCGUGGGAGCAAACAGGAUUAGAUACCCUGGUA